AGGAUGAACGCUGGCGGCGUGCCUAACACAUGCAAGUCGAACGAAGCAAUUGAAGGAAGUUUUCGGAUGGAAUUCGAUUGACUGAGUGGCGGACGGGUGAGUAACGCGUGGAUAACCUGCCUCACACUGGGGGAUAACAGUUAGAAAUGACUGCUAAUACCGCAUAAGCGCACAGUACCGCAUGGUACAGUGUGAAAAACUCCGGUGGUGUGAGAUGGAUCCGCGUCUGAUUAGCCAGUUGGCGGGGUAACGGCCCACCAAAGCGACGAUCAGUAGCCGACCUGAGAGGGUGACCGGCCACAUUGGGACUGAGACACGGCCCAAACUCCUACGGGAGGCAGCAGUGGGGAAUAUUGCACAAUGGGCGAAAGCCUGAUGCAGCGACGCCGCGUGAGUGAAGAAGUAUUUCGGUAUGUAAAGCUCUAUCAGCAGGGAAGAAAAUGACGGUACCUGACUAAGAAGCCCCGGCUAACUACGUGCCAGCAGCCGCGGUAAUACGUAGGGGGCAAGCGUUAUCCG
rnacentral:rRNA from 2 species